GUAGGUGGGGUAGAAGCCUAUCAAGGCGACGAUCAGUAGCCGGCUUGAGAGGGUGGACGGCCACACUGGGACUGAGACACGGCCCAGACUCCUACGGGAGGCAGCAGUGGGGAAUAUUGCGCAAUGGGGGAAACCCUGACGCAGUGACCACGCGUGAGAGAAGAAGGCCUUCGGGUUGUAAAGCUCGGUGGUAAGGGACGAAUGUUAAAAUCAAUUAUUCGGAUUGGGAAUGACGGUACCUUACCAACAAGCCCCGGCUAAAUACGUGCCCGCCGGCGCGGUAAGAAGUAGGGGGCCAGCGUUGUCCGGAAUUACUGGGGGUAAAGAGCAGGUUGGGGGGACUUUAAGUCAGGAGUGAAAGUCCGCGGGUCAAACGCGGGGUUGCACUUGAAAAUGGGGUUCUUGAGGGCAGGAGAGGAAAGCAGAAUUCCUGGUGUAGCGGUGAAAUGCGUAGAAAUCAGGAAGAAUACCCGUGGCGAAGGCGGCUUUUUGGAAUGACCCUGACGGUGAGGUGCGAAAGCGUGGGGAGCAAACCGGAUUAGAUUCCCUGGUAGUUCCCGCCGUAAACGAUGGAUAUAUAGGUGUGGGAGGUAUCGACCCCUUCCG
rnacentral:rRNA from 1 species